UGGUGUGUUACCUCUAUUAAACUUCUGGCAGUAACAAUUUAAGGUCGAACAGGUUAUAUUUAGAACGUAAUCGUGUAGAUGCCAAUAACCAUGAACGGUUACUGAGUAAUAAUUGGACCGUUCUUCAUGUAUAUUAAUGAGUAAAUCCGCGGAGAUUGAUAGUGAAGGUUGAGAAAUACUGAUCUUAUUCAAAUCCCUUAAGUUAAUACUGUAAUAAGGAGACCAUCUUUGAAACAAUUACGAAAGUCGUGAAUGUACAAGCUGUGAAUAUCACAUCUGUGAAGGCAAAACAGCACUUCUCCUUUUGGUCAUUUAUCCUAAAUCUUCCUUCAUAUCGUGCCUGGAAGCUUGGUUUGAAGAAAGGUAAGAUUUCUGUUUUAUUAUAUUGUAAUUUUGCAAUUAUUUUAAACAAUUCAAGGAUCACAAUAACAACCCUUUAUUUCGAAAGCAGUGAUGUCUGGUACAAAGGGGAAAUAUGCAGAUAAAUGGCCCAGAUAGCCAAGCUGGAGUGACAAAGGUUGUUACAAUUUCAGUCAUAAAUGCUUUAAAAUAUUUCCAUAUGACAUAUAGGUGCUUCGCAAUGAAUUAGAAUGUCGUGAAAAAGUUCAUUUAUUUCAGUAAUUCAACUGAAAUUGUGAAACUUGUGUAUUAAAUCAAUUCAGUGCACGCAGACUGAAAUAGUUUAAGUCUUUUGUUCUUUUAAUUGUAAUGAUUUUGGCUCACAUUUAACAAAACCCCACCAAUUCACUAUCUUAACAAAUUUUAAUACUUCAUAAGACCAAUAAAAAAAAAUAUAAAAAAUUGUGAAUUGUUUGCCCUCUGGAA
rnacentral:lncRNA from 1 species